UUUGACUUCCAUAUUGCUUUCAUAGUGAUAUAGCAACCUACUGAAAGGUUUUCCGUCAACCGAGAAUUCAUCACUACUGCGACGUAAAAUUCACAAAACCUUCUUGUAAUUAUCCACAAAAAAACAAAGAAUGAAACACCUGGACACAAAACUAUAUCAUUUUUCUAAUUUCUACUUGUUAGUACUACUAACUUAAUAUAUAAUUAUUAUUCUCAGUGACUGUCCACUCGGGGCCGAAACC
rnacentral:misc_RNA from 1 species